rnacentral:rRNA from 1 species
UACGUAGGGUGCGAGCGUUAAUCGGAAUUACUGGGCGUAAAGCGUGCGCAGGCGGUUCGUUAAGUUCGUUGUGAAAGCCCCGGGCUUAACCUGGGAAUUGCAUUGAGGACUGGCGUGCUCGAGUGCGGCAGAGGGGGGUGGAAUUCCACGUGUAGCAGUGAAAUGCGUAGAGAUGUGGAGGAACACCGAUGGCGAAGGCAGCGCCCUGGGCCGACACUGACGCUCAGGCACGAAAGCGUGGGGAGCAAACAGG